rnacentral:rRNA from 1 species
UACGUAGGGUGCAAGCGUUGUCCGGAAUUAUUGGGCGUAAAGAGCUCGUAGGCGGUUUGUCGCGUCUGCUGUGAAAACGCGGGGCUCAACUCCGCGCCUGCAGUGGGUACGGGCAGACUAGAGUGCAGUAGGGGAGACUGGAAUUCCUGGUGUAGCGGUGGAAUGCGCAGAUAUCGGGAGGAACACCGGUGGCGAAGGCAGGUCUCUGGGCCAUUACUGACACUGAGAAGCGAAAGCAUGGGGAGCGAACAGG